rnacentral:rRNA from 1 species
CUUGAUGGAUUAUUUUAAGUUAUUUCUUUUUUACCGAAAAGCUCAGAUCUCGAUUUCAGUUGUUUUGAACUUAGUAAGGUUGUGUAAACUUUGUUUAAAUUGUAAAAUGCGUUGUGAAAAAUUAGUCGUUGAGUUUUAUAUCUGUUUAGCUGUUGGAUAUUUUCGUGUUACGCACAAGGUUAUGAGAUUUUGUGUGAGAUUAUACUCUGUGUAUUCGGUUCAGUUAAGGAAAGAGUUAAAAUUACUCAUUUCUUGUAAAAUUGUUAUAAAUUUUAUGAAUUUGUGUAGUGGGGUUAAGUUUAUUGACAGCUUUAAAUUAACUUUUAGAUUUAUAUAUAUCAUUAAAUAAGUAAUUAUAUUACUUUAGUUAUUUCUCGAGUUUUGUCCGUCUGUUUAUUAAAAACAUUUCCAAUUUUAAGUUUAGUUGGUAGUGCCUGCCCGGUGUAUUUUUAUAAAUGGCCGCAGUAUCUUGACUGUGCAAAGGUAGCAUAAUUAAUUGCCUUAUAAUUGAAGGCUUGUUUGAAAGGUUUGACGUGAUAAUAAUGAAUAUCUAUGGUUUUUUUGAAAUUGAUAUUGAGGGCACAGAAUCCUCAUAUAGGUUUAAUUAGACGGAAAGACCCCGGGAUCUUUUUAUUUUUGCCUGGGGCAGGUUUCAAUAUUUUAUUGAUAUUAUGACCCUUAUAUUAGGUUUAAUGAGUUAAGUUACCCCGGGGAUAACAGUGUAAUAAUUAAUGAGAGAUCUUAUCGAAUUAAUUGUUUGCUACCUCGAUGUUGACUUAGAUUAAAGUUAUGGUGUAGUAGUUUUAGCUUUAGGUCUGUUCGACCUUUAUUA